rnacentral:rRNA from 1 species
UACGUAGGGGGCUAGCGUUGUCCGGAAUCAUUGGGCGUAAAGAGCGUGUAGGCGGCCCGGUAAGUCCGCUGUGAAAGUCGGGGGCUCAACCCUCGAAUGCCGGUGGAUACUGUCGGGCUAGAGUGCGGAAGAGGAGAGUGGAAUUCCUGGUGUAGCGGUGAAAUGCGCAGAUAUCAGGAGGAACACCAAUGGCGAAGGCAGCUCGCUGGGACGGUACUGACGCUGAGACGCGAAAGCGUGGGGAGCAAACGGG